UACGGGGGGUGCAAACGUUGCUCGGAAUUAUUUGGGCGUAAAGCGCACGUAGGCGGUCUCUUAAGUCGGGUGUGAAAGCCCUGGGCUCAACCCAGGAAGUGCAUUCGAAACUGAAAGGCUUGAGUACGGAAGAGGGUCUCGGAAUUCCCGGUGUAGAGGUGAAAUUCGUAGAUAUCGGGAGGAACACCGGUGGCGAAGGCGGCCCGCUGGGCAGGAAGGGGUGGGUAACCAUCCCGGCUGACACUGAGGCGCGACAGCGUGGGGAGCAAACAGG
rnacentral:rRNA from 1 species